GACGAACGCUGGCGGCGUGCUUAACACAUGCAAGUCGAACGGAAAGGCCCUGCUUUUGUGGGGUGCUCGAGUGGUGAACGGGUGAGUAACACGUGAGUAACCUGCCCUUGACUUUGGGAUAACUUCAGGAAACUGGGGCUAAUACCGGAUAGGAGCUCCUGCUGCAUGGUGGGGGUUGGAAAGUUUCGGCGGUUGGGGAUGGACUCGCGGCUUAUCAGCUUGUUGGUGGGGUAGUGGCUUACCGAGGCUUUGACGGGUAGCCGGCCUGAGAGGGUGACCGGCCACAUUGGGACUGAGAUACGGCCCAGACUCCUACGGGAGGCAGCAGUGGGGAAUAUUGCACAAUGGGCGGAAGCCUGAUGCAGCAACGCCGCGUGCGGGAUGACGGCCUUCGGGUUGUAAACCGCUUUCGCCUGUGACGAAGCGUGAGUGACGGUAAUGGGUAAAGAAGCACCGGCUAACUACGUG
rnacentral:rRNA from 1 species